CAAAUUAAUCUUAUAGUUAAGUAAUUUUAUUUACAAUAAAAUAUAAUCGUGCAAUUCGAUUUAAUUUGA
rnacentral:tRNA from 1 species